rnacentral:tRNA from 1 species
GAGGGUAUAGCUCAAGUGGUAGAGUGAAUGCUUAGCAUGCACGAGGUCCUGGGUUCAAUCCCCAGUACUCCUCU